CAGAAAAAAAAUGUCUGAAUUAGGUUAGUUAUCAUUACAAUGAUUCAUUGUAUAUAAUAAAUAAGAUGAGUAUUAGAAAUUUUGAUUACUAAAUAUGAAAAAUUUUCUUAGAAACAUCUCUUAAUGAGAAAGAUGAGACUUUUUUCAAAUAGCUUUUGUUUCAACAAAGGAGUAUUUGUUGUUGGGACCACAUGGGCUCCAGUAUCAGUGCUACUUCUCUCUCUCUCUCUCUCUCUCUCUCUCUCAGUUAUGGAGAUAGAAGCACUGAGAAACAUUUAACUCAAAUAAAUAGCUGGGAAUGAAGGGUGUUUUGUGACAGCUUUGCCAAUAUAUUCUUUGUACUCUCUUCAAAUUUAUAGACCAAGAAUCAGACAGAGUGAGCUCAUAAAAACAAUUUAACUGUCAACUAACAACCCAACUAGAUCCUCCUUCAAUUUUUAGAAAGCUCAGAACUAGAAACCCCCUGCCAUUAAAAAGGAUUGGCUUCACAGGUGUACUGGGAUACUUACUUUCUCAACUCUGACCUCAACACAUCAAAGUGUUCCUUUGAUUGGCACCCCAGAUAUUUUACAUUUGGGGGAAACAGGAAGCACACAUCUUAACCAGUCAGAAGUCUUUUCUCUUGUAAAGCAGAAUUCAGAGACAUCCCACCACUAAGGCAGAUCCAUAUAGGAAAGGACCUGAUGGAAGAUGAGGAUCUGGCAAUGAUUCCCUGGACACUCUGUGCUCAACAGCUCAUAAGCUUUGGAUAUCCCUCCUACAGCCACAGCCCGCUCCAUUGAAAGAAGGAACCUAAGAUGAAGCAUCCUGAGCGAUGGCUGCCAUUUUUACAGUCUUACUGCAAAGACACGUGGGCAGAUUCUCAUCUCAACACAGAAGGACAUGAAGAUUUUCUACACAGGAAACUAGAGUGACUUCCAGAACUUUUUUCUCAGUUUCAAGAACCAAAACAGAAGGUCACAAAUAGACCAGUCUUUCUCAAAUUUUGACUUAAUGAGAAGGAAUAGGGAUUUUAAGGUCAAGAAUAGAGUUCCCAAAAAAUGUUUCUAGUUCUUCAAAAGGAAUCAAAUAAUGAAUAAGAAAAACCCAACAAAUACCAUGUUUAUAUCUUAUAUUAGUAAAACAUUUACUGCACAGUGAAUUUUCUAAUCCCCAUCUCUAAUUCACAAGAAUCAGACUAUUUUGACAAGACACUUGUAAACUCAUUUAUAUAUGCUACUAAUGAGAGUUAUGUAAAUUUCUCCCAUUUCUCUAUCGAAAUACACACUGCUUUCCUAAUUUUAUGACCCAGCUUUUUUCAGGUCUAUUCCCACAUCUUAGGCUGAUGCCACAGAGCUUGAAUAAUUUGAUUAUUUACAGAACAAAUGGUAUUUAACCCACUUGGACCCCUCAUACCGGGUUGUGAGGUUUGGGCACGCCUGGGGAGUCCUGCCCAUCUCCUCACCUCUUUGCUACAUCAGCGGCUUUCCCUCACGCCUCCGCACUGGAGUGCAGUCCUGAGGCCUCAGGUCACUCUCUAAGUUGACUGUAACUUUCACAAUACCUGUGGCCCAACCUGUCCCCCACCAUGCCUUCCACUGUGAUCCUGUCCCUUUCUAAGCUGUGUGCUUGGUUUCAUUUUUUUUUCCCUCUCCCAACUAUUUUACUAACAACAGGAGUGGGUCCCAGUUGGAUUCCUAGACCUGAAAUGUAAAUGGCUGCCCAAAAGAUAUACAGAAAAGUAUGUUGUGAAUCAACCCCUGGCUCACAAUCCACUCGCAACUCUCUUCCUCAUCUGCCUUCCCUUUCCCCUCCACUGACAAACUUCUGGGAAACAAAGGCUGUCACUCACUUCAGGAGCCUGAGAGGUGAAAGGAAAAUCUUCUUCAGAUGAAGUUAGUGGCCCCACUGUGUCUAGGAAGCUACAAGUGACUGUCCAUAAAAACACAAAGAUCGUCUCCUCCCCUCACUGGACACGAUAUAUCUGUACAGAUAAUACAGUGUUGUCAAAAGUGAUUCUCUUUUAGAUGAAAUCAAAUUAAAAAUUUUUUUCUCUUAUAUUUUAAGGACAAUAUCUACUUUAAGGCACACCAUAAACUCCCCACUGUCUGACUAACUCUGCCCCCGCUGCUCCAGAUUCAUAUGCCCACUUGUCUACCAGAGUCCCUACCUCCACUGUCUUGUCCUCGCCUAAUCUUGCCUUUCUCAAAGUCACCACCCCGCACCCCACUGCCAAGUUAAGAACUCAGAAGCUGUCACCAGUUGCUUCCCUUUUGUGCCAUCAUCCACGCCGCCAGUCUAUCAGCAGGUCCUACUGGUUUCACUACCCAAAUACAUCUGGCUUGUACCCACUAUCAUCUCUGCUUCCUCCACUCUGGAACGAGGUGUCACCCUCUCCCAUCUGCACACUCUCCUUGCCUCACGAGCCUCUAGCAUGCUCUACCCAGUGGCCAGAAUGGCCUCCUAAAGACAGAGCAUCAGGCCAUUUAGGAAACGGCAUACAAAAUCUGCAUUUUAUAAAGAGUUGUAGCGGGGGUGCAGAGCUGCUUUAUUACAAGGCAGCAUUUACUAGGUGCAGAGUUUUGGUGGGAAGGGUGGUAUCUGGGGAAAGUGUAAUUCAUCCUCUUCACUUUGGGGCUGUUCUGCAUUUCUUGAGCAGACCACCCCUAGCAGCAGAGGCAGGAGGUCCAAAAGUCCUUGGUCACAGGUGCAGCGAUCUAAGAGCCUGUGAUACACUUUGUUUCCCUUUGUUCAGAGUCCAAGGCCCAGAGCCCCAUCUGUCUGUAUCCUAGUUAGCAAUGAACAUUUUAUUUUCUCUACUCACCUGGAAGGUAUCUGGAUUGUUUCAAGUAGUACUGUUUAGCCACUGACGCAGCUGACAAUUCAGAAUCAGAUUUUAGGGCAACAGUGGCAGGUAAGCUCUUGUUUUCCUCUGUCAGGAGGUUGGAGCCUGCGGGUACCGCCUCUGGGAACCUUGGAAGUCAACAGAAGGUCGCAUUAUAGUGCCAACAUCAAGACGUUCCCCCCAACCCCCUGCACCUGAUUUUAAACUAGCCAGAGCCACUCACUCAGAUGGCUGCCCUCGGUCCUCUGGCUGAUAGGAAUGCUAAUGACCGCCCGUCCUUUGUAGAGAUUAGGCAGAACUGUUUCUGAUACCAGACAGUAUGCGACAGAAAGCUUUGUAACUGGGCAGCAACUUGCUUGUGUGUAACAUGUAUCUAUAUUUCCUGAAAUUGCUGCACUUUCAAAAUGUGGGACGCCAGUGAGUUUGAAAGGCAGGCAAUAACAGCCAUCUUCGUCCGUCUACUAAAAUAAUUUAUAAGAUGCUGAGGUUGAUUUGGGCAUGGUUUGGAUGGGCUAGGAAAACUUCAGUGGGGAAAGAAGUGCUAGAAAAGCUCCCAGCUACCAUUUCCAAUUACCCUAGCGACAUACAGACAACAGGUCUUGCAUUUGCAGAGACGUGCAUGUCCCCCAGGGGCACCUGCCAGCUGCUUGGUUGUGUCCACACUGAGACUGACUCUGCCCCUCAGCCCUUGCCACCCACAGCUCGGUUUCCAGCUUCCAGGCUUAGCUCUGCCUUGUUCCCAAGGCCAUCUUGAUCGCACAGCAGUGCACAAGGCAGCCGUCAGCCGCUACCUGAGGAUGGACUGUCAUCUGCUUUGCUACGCGGCACUCUGCUGUAAGGAGCCCUCAGGACUGACCUCUUCCUCCCUCACCUCCUGACUGGCUUCUUCUUUUGCUGGGGCCUGAAUGUACUGCUCAGCCCCUGCCCCCACCUCCAAGCAUCUCUGGCUGCCCUUAGAAAUCCACGCUGCCACCCCUUGGCACUGGACACUGACUCGGUUGACCUUUGAACCUGGGCCACCCCCUCUGAGGGAGUGCUCGACACAGGUAGGGCACCGCACUGGAGGCAGCUUCACCAGUGCUGGCUUCUCUCCCUCUCCUCAGCCCACUCUGGAAAGUUCUCCUGUUCUCGAAACUGCUCAGUCUAAAGAGCACCUUGUCAGCAUGGCCCGCCCGUAGGCAGGACUGUGGAGGCCCUGGAGUUGCCUCACGGUGGCGCACAGGGCACGCUCUUGUCUCGUGUUAUAAGUCUUCGAAGGUCUUGUUUUUGCUGGGGUAUAUUUGAUGGGUCGAGGACAGGCUAAAUAGUGUUUAGACCUUUGUUUAGUACCAACUAUAUAUUCAGUAAAAGUGAACUGAGUAUGCAUGUCUACAGUAUAAAAAGAAAUACAAAUAUCUUGCUUUUGUUCACUUUUAAAAAGAUAACCGUUAAAUAAAAGAUUUGCACUUU